rnacentral:rRNA from 1 species
GACAACGGCUGGCGGCGUGCUUAAAACAUGCAAGUCGAACGGACUUCUCAUGAAGCUUGCGAUUGAGAAGUUAGUGGCGGACGGGUGAGUAACGCGUGGGCAACCUGCCCCUGAGCCCGGGAUAACAGUUCGAAAGGACUGCUAGGACCGGAUAUACUUGCGGGGAAGCAUUUCUCUGUAAGGAAAGGGAACGCUCAGGGAUGGGCCCGCGUCCCAUUAGCUAGUUGGUGAGGUAACGGCCCACCAAGGCGACGAUGGGUAGCCGGCCUGAGAGGGUGAACGGCCACACUGGGACUGGGACACGGCCCAGACUCCUACGGGAGGCAGCAGUUGGGAAUCUUCGGCAAUGGGCGCAAGCCUGACCGAGCAACGCCGCGUGAGUGAUGAAGGUUUUCGGAUUGUAAAGCUCUGUCUUCCGGGACGAUAAUGACGGUACCGGAGGAGGAAGCCACGGCUAACUACGUG